GUGCUCCCCUCAGCAGCACAUAAACUAAGAUUGAAUGAUGCAGAGAAGAUUAGCGUGGCCCCUGCGCAAGGACGACACGCCAGUGCGUGAAGUGUUCCAUAUUUAA
rnacentral:snRNA from 1 species